UAAUAGGUUGAUUCAGACCUUUACAAUUCCAGCUACAGAACUUAAACGAGUGACCUGCUUGUUGAUUAUUAGUAUUUAAUUGCGAUACCAUGUUAGAACAUAGGUUGAAAAAAACCAAAGCUGACCAAUGAAAAACACAGAAAAAACAAAGUCAGUGAACAGAACAGUACAACAUAAAAAACAAAGAACACCCAAACUUCCCCCUAAAUGCUGAAGCAUCUUCCCUAACAAGAUGCGCGCACCCCCCACCAAACACACCCUGAGCACUUUCUCCCAACCAUUCGAAGUCCCAGUUGAGUUCAAGCUCCUUGCAAUACAAGGCAGAGACAAAUCAAGGAUUGUAUGAAAAUUUAUUAGAACAAGACACAUCCUAUAAAUCAAGCUCACCUCAAAUAAACAUAAGUAUGUUACUUAAAAAAAAAAUACAAUAAGAUACAAUAAAAAAUAAAAAACAGUGAAGAAAGAGAAAAAAAAAUAGAAUAGAAUAUUUCACAGAAAUUAACCAAGAUGGACAUAUCAGCCCAAUGGGCUAAGACACUUAUGUGCCCUGAGAGGCAGGGCCCCCCAGGAUCUUAUUGGCAAAGUCCGUGGCAGACGCAGGAUCAGUAAACUUACGUACAACUCCAUCUGGAAGUGUCACCCUCAGUUCCGCAGGAUAGAACAGGCCGAACUUGAUCCCAGGACAAGAGUGCAGAAGGCGCUUGACCCCAGUAAACUGAACGUUUUUUAGCCACUGCAGGUGUGAAGUCUGGAAAGAUGGAGAUCCUUCUGCCCUGGUAAAGUAGAGGAGAGUUUGCCCCUGCAAGACGUAGCAGCUGUUCCUUGACAUGGAAGUAGUGGACUCUAAUGAGGAGUGGGCGAGGAGGCGCUCCCUCUCUGGGCUUUGGUCCAAGGGACCUGUGAACCCGAUCUAAUAGAGGUGCUUCAUUCAGCUUCAAAAGAUCUUGCAGGAGAUGGGAAAUAAACUCCCUAGGGUUAGAAGUCUCCAAACCCUCGGGGAUGCCAAUAAGACGAAUAUUAUUGCGCCUUGAUCUUCCUUCUAGAUCCUCACAUUUAGCUUGCAGUUGUCUGACCUCCUCCGUUAGGACACUUACAGCACAUUGAAGAGAAGUCAGGUCGUCACUGCAGGUUGUAGCUGAAAGCUCCAAAUCUUUAAUGGUGGUCCCUUGAGCAUUAAC
ensembl:lncRNA